rnacentral:rRNA from 1 species
GACGAACGCUGGCGGCGUGCCUAACACAUGCAAGUCGAGCGAAAAGACCAGGAGUUUGCGCGUCUGACGUUAGCGGCGGACGGGAGAGUCACAUGUGGAUAACCUACCUAUCAGACUGGGAUAAUUUCGGGAAACCGGAGCUUAUACCGGAGGAUAUAUUGCACCGCAGGGUGCAAUAGUGAAAGUCGGUUGUGGUGUCACUUAUAGAUGGAUCCGCGCCGUAUUAGCUCGUUGGUCAGGUAACGGCUUACUAAGGCGACGAUGCGUAGCCGACCUGAGAGCGUGGUCGCCCACCUGGGAGGUGAGCCGGGCCCCUGACUCCUGCGCUACGCCGCAGCACGGACUCCGACGCAAUGGGGGAGAGCCUUACAGAGCAGCGCGGCGCAAGUUCUGAAGCUGUUCGGUUCGGGAAGCUCUGUUAUUAGUGGUGAACAAAUGUGUAAGUACCCGUGCAGGUAUUGACGGUACCGGGUCAAAAAGCCCCGGCUAACUACGUG